GGAAGUCACUUGAAGAAGUUGGUGGGUAAAUAAGAAGCAGAGAGAAAGCUGCAAAGCUAAUAGAGUGAUGGUUUCAACUACCUUUUUUUUCCAUACUGCAAAGGAGACCUCUUGAUCCAUUCUUGAUCUCUCUGGAGACUUUUCGUCCUUCUUUGUUUUUUUAUAAAACUUCCCCUAUAUAGGUGAGGAACGUGAGGUCUAAUGUAGUCGUUAUGGUUAGAUGUAACGAGGAAUCCGAUGUAUUGUACAUGUGCAGCGCAGAUGUGCUUGUAUAAACAGAGACUGAGGCGACACUGGACGUUCAGUUGUGAAAAACUUUCCCUCACCCUGUUACCUGAACACAUGUUCAGGAAGGAACAUUAUCUGAAUUUCCUGAGGACCAUGGGAAGAAGAAAAAUACGUUUCCUCAUUAUGCGUGAUAUUGUGACAUUGACUGACAAAGCCACUUUGAACAUCCUGUUACUCAAAUUAUUGUAAAAAAUAUGUUAAGUAAAUCAUUAACAUGUUUUAAAAUCCUCAUGUGUGUUAGCAGGGUGAAGUGCUCUGACAGAAACACACGUGUAAGAUGAUGUUCCUCCCGCCAGGCUGGAUACCACAGAUUUGAGCAGCCUCUCAGAAUUCACACUACAGAUAUUUCCAUUACUUAUACUGCACAAGCUUGGAUCCAUUUUUUAAAUCUAAAUAUUGCACUCCUUCUCUCACAUUGUUUUUUUCCCCCUUCUUUCUGGAAGAGUGAUUAAAGCGCUUGCCUACAGAGCACAUUGUUUGAGGUAAGAAGCCUCAUGAAGUUUAAGCUAGAUCAUUCUUCCGGAUGAUCACAGUGUAGACGAAUCAUUUUUCCAGGCAGUUCUAUAUUUGACUGAACUAUCCUACUGAACUGAGUCAAUGGGAAGUUGCGUAAGACACAACCUGAUUCAUCGACAUGCCAUCACUAUGUUGGUUUAGAAGUGCC
ensembl:lncRNA